AACGCGAAGAACCUUACCAGCCCUUGACAUCCCGGUCGCGGACUCCAGAGACGGAGUUCUUCAGUUCGGCUGGACCGGAGACAGGUGCUGCAUGGCUGUCGUCAGCUCGUGUCGUGAGAUGUUGGGUUAAGUCCCGCAACGAGCGCAACCCUUUCCCUUAUUUGCCAGCAUUAAGUUGGGCACUCUAGGGGUACUGCCGAUGAUAAAUCGGAGGAAGGUGGGGACGAGGUCAAGUCAUCAUGGCCCUUAUGUCCAGGGCAACACACGUACUACAAUGGCCAAGACAAAGCGAUGCGAGACCGCAAGGUUUAGCCAAUCGCAAAAACAUGGUCUCAGUUCGGAUUGUGGUCUGCAACUCGACCACAUGAAGUUGGAAUCUCUAGUAAUCGCAGAUCAGCAGGCUGCGGUGAAUACGUUCCCGGGCCUUGUACACACCGAGACGUA
rnacentral:rRNA from 1 species